UACGUAGGGUGCAAGCGUUGUCCGGAAUUAUUGGGCGUAAAGAGCUCGUAGGCGGUCUGUUGCGUCGGCUGUGAAAACCCGGGGCUCAACCCCGGGCCUGCAGCCGAUACGGGCAGACUAGAGUUCGGCAGGGGAGACUGGAAUUCCUGGUGUAGCGGUGAAAUGCGCAGAUAUCAGGAGGAACACCGGUGGCGAAGGCGGGUCUCUGGGCAAUAACUGACGCUGAGGAGCGAAAGCGUGGGGAGCGAACAGG
rnacentral:rRNA from 1 species